UCUCGAACUCCAGAAACCAUUGCUGCUUCAAAAAAAAAAAAAAAAAAAACCCUCGAACUCAGCUCUCUCAUAAGAUGAUCGAAACUCUCGACACCCUGAGAUUUCAGAUUGAUGCUCUCUAACUCAUACUGUUUAAUUGAGAUUCUAAGUAGCUGAAAAACCUAAUCAAAACCCCUAAAUCAGAAACCCUAGAAAUCAACUUUAAAACCUCCAUUCAAAACCCAUUUGUUUUUAAGAUAUGUAUCCUAAUCAAAACCCCUAAAUCAGAAAGUUCGAUCUAUCAGCUACUAACCUUAAUUUUCAGAAGAAGGUCGAGUCCUCAGCUAGAGCAAGCUACUUACAAGACUCAGACUACGUGUUUACCUUUCUGAACAGUCUGGAGCUGGCAGAUGAACAGUGUCAUGUCUGACUUUUCCAGCCAAAGAAUCAGUUCAAGCUAAUUAACUUUCCAAGGACAUGUUAAAUGUCAUGAUGAGGUAUGCGAUAAUCAAAUGAGUUUCCUUUUUCUUCUGAAAGUUGUGAUCUGUUUAAUUGUGUGUUUUAGGCAUCUUUUCCAAAGAAUUAUUUCUCGAUCCAUCGACCAACUGAAACCAAAGUCAGUGAUAAGGAUACAAACUCGAGUGAAUCCGCCAACUAGAGGGACAAGUAAUCAAAUUGGGCCAGGUAAAGAGUUGACAACAGCUUUUGGAGAUUGGAGAAGAUUGCUGACGAUAAAUUUGGACCAUGUACCUGUUGUACUGCAUAAUGGGAGAAGAGAACCCAAAGUCUAUGCCCAUGAAGGGGGCUUGAUUAAAAGACAACAACCUCCACUGAUUGAAGGAGCUGUUGAGGAGGAGAUUCCUGUAGAGGACUAUUACUAUGUGGAUGGGUUCUUGGAUCUUAGUUUGUGGCGUGUGGUAUGUGAGCGGAAGAUUCUAUUGGCCGAUGCAAAGUUAGUAAGAAAUGAUGCAUGAAUAUAUCCUAAUGUUUUGAGGAUUGAGACUGACGCAUCAUUGAGGUACAUUGAACGCUUGAACGCUUCGAGAAAAGGCUGGUUGUUCAUGGGGUUCUAGUGAGAGUUUGGUGGCAGGAUGAAGAUGUGGAAGAAGUUCUGCAAGCAAAGUAUAUAAUUAAAACAUUGAAAAUAUCUGAUUCUGUGCUCUUCCAUGAAUUAUGUUCAGUACUUCGUGGCCUACAAUUAGCAGACCAAGAAAAAAAUGAUGAUUCUUACCAUGGUCUUAAGAUAUUCACCGAUUCUUUGUUUGCAGUAGAGAUAAUUCGAAUUGCAAGUAAGGGCGAAAAUUUAACAGUCAAAGAUCGUUUUAGAGUGAUAUCUCUAAUAAACAAAGGAGAAGGGUCAGUUGAUAUAUCAGAGGUGAUGGACGUGGCUAAUCAGAUAGUAAAGAUACUGCGAGAUAAAUGGAACUUUCAGGACACUUCCUUUGAUGAUGACAUACAUCACAAAUUUCGUGAAGCACUGUACUUAGUUGAUUACUGUACCAGGCAAAUUAAUGGUGAGCCUGAUAAUAUUUAAGAUGUUCCUCAUUCGUCCACAUUUCGUUAUCUACGUGAUAGAGAUCAACACGAGGAGAAUAUACGAUUUCCAAAAGACAAGGUUGAUGAUUGGCGGUCAAGUGGAAAUCACAAGCACAGUGAUUGAUAAGUACCGUUAAGAGGAUGCAAGGUUGGUUGGGAGGGAGAUGUUUCCAACGAAGAUAUGAUUCUGUAGAGAUGAUUUUAUAGCCUCUGUUUGGAUGAUUCUGUAGACUUCAUUUGGAUUCUGAACCCCCAAAAAAUUCUAAUGUUUUACUUUUGAGCAGGUUACAACUUAAAAUGUGACUUCAGAAAAUUUGCAUAUAUGCCCUGUUCAAGUCUUUUAUUCUUCCUUUCUUUUGUUUUUUCAUAUAAUUUUAUAUUAUGUAGUUGUCUGUUUUCUAUCGGUCAGUAGGCAUUACAACGGUUGAAUGUCAUGUGAUUCAGAAUCCUCUUAUUUUAUUUUAGGAGAUGCGAUUUCAAGUUUUCUUGU